UUCCAAAAUAUUUUUUAGCGUUGAAUGUCGAAUAGGCAAAACCAACGUUAUUUAACAUUAAUUUGAUAUCAAAUAAUGAAAGCUUUAAACCGUUCGGUACAGCCUAACAUUUUGUUUCGCAAGGCGAUAAAAUCAGUCGUGAUGAGCUGCAGACAGUGUACUCUUUAUAUAUGCGACACAUGCACACAGUGCCACUGAGAGCUUCAUAAUUCGGAUGCAGGACACAUCAAUUCAUUGCCCGAAAAGCAGAAGGCUGACAAAGUGUUUUCCCUGUGACCCACUCCGUUUUUCCGACCUUCCAGUCCGACCGACCGACCGACUGACUGACUGACUGACUGUCGAGCGACUAAGUGACGGACUGAGGGACUUCCUGACAGCCAAUAAAUGUCACUUUGGCCCUGCUGAUGCAUGAAUACAUCCGUCGCCGUCGCCGUCGCCUGGUGUUUCCCCAAACAGGACCUGGGAACUCUCCGAAGUGGCAGAUUAUGCAGUCCUGCUGUGUCGCCCAGAUAAUUGACAGCGAUGUGACGAAGCAAUUGAAACAGACAGUUGCCUAGAUGCGAAUUUAAAGGUGAGGAGCUGCAAAUGAAUCGAACAGAAAGUUUCGGUGUCCAAUGCGAAGGCUAUUAAGCAGGGCCCUCGACAAUAGAAAGUUGCCCAAGUCACCGACAUGUGGAUGGGCCCUGACGAAUAGUCGACCCUUCACUUGCUUUCUAAUUGCCAAAAAAAACAGCAGUAAAGAGAGCAGAGGUCAGCGAAAGUCAAAAGUCUAGACAGCCGACAAAUGUUACUUGCUACUCCCAUUAGCCAUCAACUGUUGCCAUAAUCUGCUCCAUUGGUUCGGGGAUAAUGUGGAUGUGGAUAUGGUUGUGGAUGUGGAUGUGGCGAACCGUUUAAGGGAGUGGUCCAGUAAAUCCGAUUAACUAUGCAUGCAAAUGGCAUUGGAAACCAUGAGAUAUGGAAUUAAUUCGGUGUGUCAUGAAAGACACGUCAGAAACUCAUUUGGCCAGCAGAGCUCGAUGAGAUCCGUGUAAGCGUUAAAGCGCCGACAUGACUGCGGACAGGAAUCCCAUUUCCCGAUUGAGGACAUGCCCACGAUGGCUUGGCCAUGCAGCAAACCAAAUAUUAGCUCUGCUGCUGAUGCUGCUGCUGCACAGUUUUUCAAUUAAAUUCGCCGAAUGCUCCUUCAAUCGUGCAUUAAAAUGAAAAUUUAAUCACGG